UACUACAGAAUGGGAAGCAGAUGGUUCAAGAGGGAGCCCUUACAGCUUUAGCAUCAGUGGCGGAUUCGUCUCAGGAGCACUUCCAAAAGUACUAUGAUGCAGUUAUGCCUUACCUUAAAGCUAUUUUGAUGAAUGCAACUGAUAAAUCCAAUCGAAUGCUUCGUGCUAAAUCAAUGGAGUGCAUAAGUUUGGUUGGAAUGGCUGUUGGUAAGGAGAAGUUCAGGGAUGAUGCUAAACAGGUUAUGGAAGUACUGAUGACAUUGCAAGGUUCACAAAUGGAG
rnacentral:misc_RNA from 1 species